rnacentral:lncRNA from 1 species
GGAAGCUUCCUGGGAUCCAGGGGGAGAUUGCAGCUGGCAGACCACCUUAGGUAAGGGCGGGCUCCAAUCUGCUCACCCUGCAUUCUGCCUCCAGAAUGGCCAGUUGCAUGCGACAAGCCCUGGGUGGGUGCCGGGUCCCUGCCUGCAAGGUGCACAGGACUGUGAUCUGAAGACGUGGGAGAUCAGAACCCCCUGAGGCUGCCCUCACCCGCCAUCAUACAGACGCUGGGCUGAACGAGGGGAUCCGGGGACACGGCUCCGGUCACUGUCGAGGAUGCUUUUUUGCUGAGCCGUGGAUCUUUGUUCCGAAGGUUUGGUGGGGACGAAGAAGAGGAAGGGCAUUUCCAGGAAUCACAGGGCUGCUUGGGCACAGGUGGAAAUUUAUGGCAGUGGUGAUUGCUCAGACCCUGCUGCACACAGCAAUCCCUUCAAGCCAAAAGAAGCCAGAAGAUCUGUAGGACCCAUUUUUCAUCUGGGCACACAGGGAUCACUUUACUUCCCACAGUCCUUUUCUUUAAACAUGGCCAGACUUACUUUGUUUAAUGAGGUUUGGGGCUGUUGCUUUUUCCUCUCUUUAAUUUGCAAGAUAAAUAUUUAUUUGCAGUCACUCCCAAACUGGCACAGCUUGAAAAAUCAUUUCAGCUGAAGGCUGGGCAUUCGUGUUGCUACCAAUCUGCCUGGGCGAAGGGAAAAAAGGGCCCGUAGCUCCUCAGAGUAAUGAGUUUGACUAGGUUGAAUAACUCUAAUGAUAUCUUGUCUCUCCCUGAGGCCCAUCAGAAACUUCCUGGCGUGGGAAAUGUUUUAAAGACUACUAAAAGCUUUGCACAUACAGUGACAGUGGAAAUGUGGGGCCCAUUUGGAUGAAGAGUUAGAAUUGGACCCCCCAGGGCUGCUUCUCCUGGGUUGGCCUCCCCCAGGUUCUGCCAGUGCCAGAGUGCCAGAGGCAUUGCGACUUUGGGUCAGCAACUGCCUAGAGCCCCAAACGGUGUAAAGGACAUACUAAUUCAAAGCAAAAGGCACUUAGUCAAACAGAAAUAGAAGUGAUU